GCCGUAAACGAUGGGCACUAGGUGUGGGAGGUGUCGACUCCUUCCGUGCCGUAGCUAACGCAUUAAGUGCCCCGCCUGGGGAGUACGGCCGCAAGGCUAAAACUCAAAGGAAUUGACGGGGGCCCGCACAAGCAGCGGAGCAUGUUGUUUAAUUCGACGCAACGCGAAGAACCUUACCUGGGUUUGACAUGACCGUGUAACUCCUGGAAACAGGAGCCCCUAGCAAUAGGCGCGGCCACAGGUGGUGCAUGGCUGUCGUCAGCUCGUGUCGUGAGACGUU
rnacentral:rRNA from 1 species